UCGGGAAUUUUGUCCAAUGGGGGAAACCCUGAGACAGCAACGCCGCGUGAGGGAUGAAGGCCCUCGGGUCGUAAACCUCUGUCAGGAGGGAAGAAAACUUCGUUGCAAAUAGUUUCGAAGGCUGACGGUACCUCCAAAGGAAGCACCGGCUAACUCCGUGCCAGCAGCCGCGGUAAUACGGAGGGUGCAAGCGUUGUUCGGAAUCAUUGGGCGUAAAGCGGGUGCAGGCGGUGGAGUAAGUCGGAUGUGAAAGCCCGGGGCCCAACCCCGGAACUGCAUUCGAUACUGCUUCACUAGAGUCCCGGAGAGGAAGGCAGAAUUCCCGGUGUAGAGGUGAAAUUCGUAGAUAUCGGGAGGAAUACCAGUGGCGAAGGCGGCCUUCUGGACGGUGACUGACGCUCAGACCCGAAAGCGUGGGGAGCAAACAGGAUUAGAUACCCCCGUAGUCC
rnacentral:rRNA from 1 species